ensembl:snRNA U6 U6 spliceosomal RNA
GUGCUUGAUUCAGCAGCACAUAUACUAAAAUUGGAAUGACACAGAGAAGAUCAGCAUGCCUCCUGCAUAAGGAGGACAUGUAAAUUUGUGAAAUGUUCCACGUUUUC